rnacentral:rRNA from 1 species
AGAGUUUUAUCCUCGCUCAGAACGAACGCUGACGGCGUGCUUAACACAUGCAAGUCGCACGAGAAAGUCUACCUUCGGGUGGAUUAGUAAAGUGGCGCACGGGUGAGUAACGCGUGGAUAAUCUGCCUUCAAGUCGGGAAUAACAUUGCGAAAGCGAUGAUAAUACCGGAUAAGCUUACGAUUUGAUUAGUUGUGAGAAAAGAUGGCCUCUGUAUAUGCUAUCGCUUGAAGAUGAGUCCGCGUACCAUUAGCUUGUUGGUAGGGUAAUGGCCUACCAAGGCUUCGAUGGUUAGCUGGCCUGAGAGGGCGGCCAGCCACACUGGAACUGAGACACGGUCCAGACUCCUACGGGAGGCAGCAGUGGGGAAUAUUGCGCAAUGGGGGAAACCCUGACGCAGCGACGCCGUGUGAGUGAUGAAGGUUUUCGGAUCGUAAAGCUCUGUCGGGUGGGAAGAAUAAAGGCUGUGUAAAUAAUGCAGUCUGAUGACGGUACCACCAAAGGAAGCACCGGCUAACUCCGUGCCAGCAGCCGCGGUAAUACGGAGGGUGCAAGCGUUGUUCGGAAUUAUUGGGCGUAAAGGGCGUGUAGGCGGGUAUGUAGGUCAGGUGUGAAAGCCCUCGGCUCAACCGAGGAAGUGCAUUUGAAACCACAUAUCUUGAGUACGUGAGAGGCAGAUGGAAUUCCCAGUGUAGAGGUGAAAUUCAUAGAUAUUGGGAAGAACACCGGUGGCGAAAGCGGUCUGCUGGCUCGAUACUGACGCUGAGACGCGAAAGCGUGGGGAGCAAACAGGAUUAGAUACCCUGGUAGUCCACGCCGUAAACGAUGUGCACUAGGUGUUGGGGGUAAUUAAACCUUCAGUGCCGCAGCUAACGCAUUAAGUACACCGCCUGGGGAUUACGGUGGCAA